rnacentral:rRNA from 1 species
CCUACGGGGUGUAGCAGUGGGGAAUAUUGCGCAAUGGGCGGAAGCCUGACCCAGCAACGCCGCGUGAGUGAAGAAUGUCUUCGGAUCGUAAAACUCUGUCCCAUGGGAAGAAGAAGACGGUACCAUGGGAGGAAGCCCCGGCUAACUACGUGCCAGCAGCCGCGGUAAUACGUAGGGGGCAAGCGUUGUCCGGAAUCACUGGGCGUAAAGGGCGCGUAGGCGGUAUAUUAAGUCAGGUGUGAAAGUUUUCGGCUCAACCGGAAAAGUGCACUUGAAACUAAUAGACUUGAGUACUGGAGAGGUAAGCGGAAUUCCUAGUGUAGCGGUGAAAUGCGUAGAUAUUAGGAGGAACACCGGUGGCGAAGGCGGCUUACUGGACAGAGACUGACGCUGAGGCGCGAAAGCGUGGGGAGCAAACAGGAUUAGAUACCCGAGUAGUC